UACGUAGGGUGCAAGCGUUUAAUCGGAAUUACUGGGCGUAAAGCGUGCGCAGGCGGCUAUGCAAGACAGAUGUGAAAUCCCCGGGCUCAACCUGGGAACUGCAUUUGUGACUGCAUAGCGUAGAGUACGGUAGAGGGGGAUGGAAUUCCGCGUGUAGCAGUGAAAUGCGUAGAUAUGCGGAGGAACACCGAUGGCGAAGGCAAUCCCCUGGACCUGUACUGACGCUCAUGCACGAAAGGCGUGGGAGCAAACGAGG
rnacentral:rRNA from 1 species